UCGCGGCGGUGCGCGCAGAAGGGUCUGGGCUCGAGCCUGCCUGGAGCCGCCGCCGGUGCAGAUCUUGGUGGUAGUAGCAAAUACUCCAGCGAGGCCCUGGAGGACUGAUGUGGAGAAGGGUUUCGUGUGAACAGCCGUUGCACACGAGUCAGUCGAUCCUAAGCCCUAGGAGAAAUCCGAUGCAAACGGCGAUGGGAAAACACUACUCGUGAGUGAGACAGAGACCCAUUGAUCGGGCGAAAGGGAAUCCGGUUCCUAUUCCGGAACCCGGCAGCGGAACCGUUGUUUGUCGGGCCCUCGCAAGGGGUUCGUCAGGGCAACCUAAAAGGGCCCGGAGACGCCGUCGGGGGCCCCGGAAAGAGUUUUCUUUUCUGCAUGAGCGUUCGAGUUCCCUGGAAUCCUCUCGCAGGGAGAUAGGGUUUGGAACGCGAAGAGCACCGCAGUUGCGGCGGUGCACGGGAAUUCCCGACGGACCUUGAAAAUCCGGGAGAGGGCCACGUGGAGGUGUCGCGCCGGCUCGUACCCAUAUCCGCAGNNGGUCUNCAAGGUGAAGAGCCUCUAGUC
rnacentral:rRNA from 1 species